rnacentral:rRNA from 1 species
CGUACUUCCAGGGCGGUAUGCUUUAACGACUUCUCUUCGAUACUGCGAAUUCACAAGAAUACGCAACACCCUUGSAUACAGCGUUUACAGSCAGGACUACUCGGGUAUCUAAUCCGGUUUGCUCCCCUGGCCUUCGUYCCUGACCGUCAGAUCCGUUCUAGUGAGAUGCCUUCGCCAUCGGKAGUCUUCCAAGGAUUAUCACAUUUUACCGCUCCCCUCAGAAUACUUCUCACUUCUCCCGGUCYCUAGACWAGCAGUGUUCCCUGCACGCCAAUUGGUUGAGCCAACUGAUUUCACAGARAAUUUACUAAUCCGGCUACGGACGCUUUAGGCCCAAUAAUUAUGAUUGCCACUUGGGGCGCCGGUGUUACCGCGGCUGCUGGCACCGGUCUUUCCCACCCCUUAUUCGCVUAGUUAUUUACACUAUGCAAAAGCCUAUGCAAAGCAUAAGCACGUAGGAUUCCCCUUUCACACUGUCGUGCAUUGAARAGGUUUCGCGCCUGCUGCACCCCGU